rnacentral:rRNA from 1 species
GCGCGUGCUACACAUGCAGUCGAACGGUGAAGGUGGAGCUUGCUCCGCCGGAUCAGUGGCGAACGGGCGAUUAACACGUGGGCAACCUGCCCCAGACUUCGGGAUAACUCCUCGAAAGAGGCGCUAAUACCGGAUACGAACUCUGUAGGCAUCUGCGGAGUUGGAAAGUUUUUCGGUCUGGGAUGGGCCCGCGGCCUAUCAGCUUGUUGGUGAGGUAGUGGCUCACCAAGGCGACGACGGGUAGCCGGCCUGAGAGGGCGACCGGCCACACUGGGACUGAGACACGGCCCAGACUCCUACGGGAGGCAGCAGUGGGGAAUAUUGCACAAUGGGCGCAAGCCUGAUGCAGCAACGCCGCGUGAGGGAUGACGGCCUUCGGGUUGUAAACCUCUUUUAGCAGGGAAGAAGCGAAAGUGACGGUACCUGCAGAAAAAGCACCGGCUAACUACGUGCCAGCAGCCGCGGUAAUACGUAGGGUGCAAGCGUUGUCCGGAAUUAUUGGGCGUAAAGAGCUCGUAGGCGGUUUGUCACGUCUGCUGUGAAAAUCCAAGGCUCAACCUUGGACUUGCAGUGGGUACGGGCAGGCUAGAGUGCGGUAGGGGAGAUGGGAAUUCCUGGUGUAGCGGUGGAAUGCGCAGAUAUCAGGAGGAACACCAAUGGCGAAGGCACAUCUCUGGGCCGUAACUGACGCUGAGGAGCGAAAGCGUGGGGAGCGAACAGGAUUAGAUACCCUGGUAGUCCACGCCGUAAACGGUGGGUGCUAGCUGUGGGCCACAUUCC